AAAAUUGCCACACCCACAAACAAACACUGACACCACGCACAAACCCAUAAGUACAAAAAGGAAAACUAUAAUAGAUAAAAGUAGGCAUUAACCCCCAUACCUUGUGCAUAAUGGUUUUACAAGAAAAAAAUUAAAUAAGUUAAUCCCGAAUUCCGUGUGAGCUGUUUACAUAUUGUUAAGAACCAACUAUUAACUGUGACACAGUUUUAGAAAAUAUGGAGACAGGGGCUACAUACCACCCGCACCGGAAAAUUGCUGGUUUCUAAGUAAUAUUAUUUAUUAAAACAUGCACUUAUGUGCAGUGUCACUUUAUAGAGGACAAGCCCUAUAAACCCUAAUCAAUCAAAUAACCAUAUCAAAUCAACCAGUAGGCUUAAAAUCAGCCACCUUUAAUACUUUAUCGCUAAAAAAAAAAUAUAAAUACAUUAAGACAUAUGAACAACACACUUAGAAACACCACUAAACUAAGUUAGUGACGAUUACUAUGUAAAAAUAAGUAUUAAUAACCCACAAAUAACUCAUUACCCCAACUCUAUUAAGAAACUCGGCAAAUAUUAUUU
rnacentral:rRNA from 1 species